GGGGCUGUGGCUCAGUGGUAGAGCAUCUGCUUCACAUGCAGAAGGUCCCAGGUUCAAUCCCUGGCACCUCCA